ACUCCGCACCUCUCCAAAAUCUCCUCCAGUUCUCCGCUUUUCUUCACCGCAAUGUCAGAUUUCGUGUGCCAAUUCGCUGCCGGGAUCUGACUCCGGCGCCUUUCUCUUCCCCUUUUCGCCGAGGAUAGCAGGCGGCGAUGCUCGGGGCAUUGGACGGCGGGUGCCACCCCAGCUGCGGAGAGAGCGGCGAGGAAGAGUUGGCGAUCCUGCCGAGGCACACUAAGGUGGUGGUGACCGGCAAUAAUCGUACCAAGUCGGUUCUCGUCGGCCUGCAUGGCGUUGUCAAGAAGGCCGUCGGCCUCGGCGGCUGGCAUUGGCUGGUUCUAACUAACGGUAUAGAGGUGAAAUUGCAAAGAAAUGCCCUUUGUGUUAUUGAACCCCCGACUGGUCAUGAGGAAGAUAGUGAGAUUGAAUGUGGUAACAUGCAGUGGAAUAGUUCAGGCACUAGUUUGUGUCCUGCUGUUACCCAUGGAACAUAUUUGUCGCCAAGUUUCCUUUCUUUAGGUUGGAGUGGAGUUAUAUUGGCCCUCCCCAAAUGCUGCAAUGUCAGGAGCCUCUCCAUAAUGCGCCCGUGCUGUUAAAAACAUCAUAUUCUUCUUUAACUGGGGCGCUCAGUGUUGUUUCACGAUAGUUUUUCUCCAUUGGAUGCAUUAUACAACUUUGAAACAUUCAUUUCAGUGUCUGAUGAUGUACAAGCUCAAAAGCCACACAUAUCGAGGGUCAGGCACUGCAAAGGAUCAUCUUACAAAUCACUAAGCAGGUCUCAGUCAUGUGAUUCACAUUCCAAGGGAUCCAUUUUGUCAUCCAGAUGUAAGAUGAAAGUUGACUUGAGCAAGCUGGAAACAAGAGCAUUGUGGCGAUAUUGGCGGCAUUUUAAUCUUGUGGAUGCCAGUCCUAACCCCUCUAAAGAGCAGCUAAUUGAUGUAGUCCAAAAGCAUUUCAUGUCACAGCAAUUGGAUGAGUUGCAGGUUAUCAUUGGAUUUGUGCAGGCUGCAAAAAGACUGAAAACAAUCUGCAAUUGAAAAAGAGAAGUUUCUGCACACCUUGCUAACUGGUAGGACUUUCUGUAGCACAUUAUGUAACAUACAUUAACUGGAUUUGGAUGUUGGCACAGCUGGAACAACCUUUCUCAGCUAGGGUUCUUGCAAAAUGCUAGAAUUUCUUGGAGUUUUACCCUGGCUUUUGAAAUGCUGCAUAAGUUUUCAUCUCUGUCAAUGCUGUUUUCUAUUAGUUUUAUAAAUGUUAAUUAAUUAUCUGAUCAAGAUA